UACGGGGGGGGGCAAGCGUUGUUCGGAAUUACUGGGCGUAAAAGGGCUCGUAGGCGGCCAACUAAGUCAGACGUGAAAUCCCUCGGCUUAACCGGGGAACUGCGUCUGAUACUGGAUGGCUUGAGAUUGGGAGAGGGAUGCGGAAUUCCAAGGUGUAGCGGUGAAAUGCGUAGAUAUCUGGAGGAACACCGGUGGCGAAGGCGGCAUCCUGGACCAACACUGACGCUGAGGAGCGAAAAACCAGGGGGAGCAAACGGG
rnacentral:rRNA from 1 species